ensembl:lncRNA
UUCAUCUAUAAAUGUUUGGGCUGUUUAAUAUUCGGAUUUUGUUUUGUUGGUAUCUCGUAAUCACGGUAAUUAUGAUAUGGCGCGAACGCACCUUAAGAAUGUCUAUUCUAGGGUAGCCUAGUUUAAACUUUGGACUUUUGUUUUGUGGUCUAAGACCAGCUGGUCGAAAUUCCGGAGAAUGCCACAAGAGGAGGCUAUUUCUCCAUGAAUAGUCUUUUUUCACAGACACACUAACGUCUCAAGUGCAACCAUAAGACCAUAAUUCUGUAAGUUCUAUUUUAUAUGUAAAAUAUGCAUUUUCGUUCAGACAUGGAACCUCUAUAAGAAUGUUUUAGGCUUGGCAUCUUGUGCUGGCCUUGCAGUAUUUAAACUACUGAAGCUUCGGGUUGAGAGGAACCAGGAUGAAAUGUUCCUUUACAUAGAUGUUAAAGCGGCUUUGAUACAAGGACAUCCUCGCCUUAUUGUAUGAUCCGUCGUGCCUUCAGUCUUAAGAUUGCACGUCUGAUGGCAGAUGGAGUAUUCUGACGACGACUUCCAUACCUUUUAUGGACCUUGACACUGUUAUUUACUUGGCAGUCUAUGGGACAGUCUCAAGCCUCCAGGUUUUCAUCCAAAAUAUCUUAAAUUGUGUUCCGAAGACGAACUGAGCUUUUACGGGCUUGGAACGACAUGGGGGAACCUAUAGAGCUCACAAGGACUUUUUUGAAAUUUGGCAUUUCUUUAAAUAGAACCUUCAGGUCAUAAGAGUCUAAGAUGGCGGACCAAACAAAAGAGGUGAAAAAGCAUCAGACCAACACAGAAAAACCAGACGACAAUGGAUCAGACUGUUCUAAUCUCAAUUCUAAAGAAUAAACUAGAAAAACGUCACCUGAAUUUAAUCCUACUAAUGAAUACUCAGUGAAUAUCGCUCUCAAAGUGGCCACAUCUUUGCUCCAGUCUGUCUUUCUUGAAAAUAGGCCUGUUGUACUGCCUGUUCAUUUUCAGUUAGCUGGGGUUUCGCAACCCCAGGUUGGUGAGGCAGGGUUAUCUCCCUUUGCCUGCUUCGAGCACAGUCUCCAUGGCAUGUCACUGGUCCUAAAUAGGGAUGCAGCGAUUAACCGGUUUCACAAUUAACC